rnacentral:misc_RNA from 1 species
UCUUUUCAGAAUACAGAGGUAUAUGUAGCUCUUAUUCUCUUAAUGCACCCAUCUAUUUUGAAAUUCGCACUAUAUUAGAUCUCUGGUUGUUAUUAGCUUCAGCAGUGUUGAUCAUGAGUAACAGUCUAAUUUCUUAAUGAAAUUCCUUAAGCCUUCUUUAACUUUUAACAUGUAUGGCAAAUAAGGAGUGUUUUGGAAAGCAGAUGAAGUGUGAAUUGUGGCUUUCAUACUAAAAUUCACCAGAGUUUUGACUUAAUAGCAAACACACGCAGACUGACAUUUUUUGUUGGCAUAAAUGGAAACAUUGCUUUUUUUAUUUUUUUCCUUUUAAAUUUGGAAAAUUAUGUAUUAUGACUAUUCUUGCUCUUGAGGGUUUUGGAAGUAGAAUAUUCAUUUAAUUUCUGGUGGUUCUCUGAUUAUGUCCCUAAGGGUUCCUUUUUAGACCAAAAGCAUUUCAAUUUUGUAUAAUUAUAUGAUUAAAUUGAAUUGAGUUUCCACUAAUAUAUUCCUUACUCAAAACAAGCAGAUUCGGGACCA